rnacentral:rRNA from 1 species
GACCGAGGGUGCAACCGUUGUUCGGAAUUACUGGGCGUAAAGCGCGUGUAGGCUGCUUCGCAAGUCGGAUGUGAAAGCCCUGGGUUCAACCCAGGAAGUGCAUUCGAAACUGCAGAGCUGGAGUCCUGGAGAGGAAGGCGGAAUUCUCGGUGUAGAGGUGAAAUUCGUAGAUAUCGAGAGGAACACCGGUGGCGAAGGCGGCCUUCUGGACAGUGACUGACGCUGAGACGCGAAAGCGUGGGGAGCAAACAGG